UUUCUGACAGAAAUGACAGAAUAGAAAAAUAGCUUUUUGGAUUAUUUUUAUUAUACAUAUUUUGGACUUCUGAAUAUCUGAUUGUUCCGAUUGUUCUCGUUCUGCCUGAAGUCUGUAAACUCUGUAAACUAGAUUAGAGAAUGGGAGAACAAUAAUUAUGAAGACUUAAUUCAAAAUUUAUCUUCAUAUUCAAAAUAGUUGAAUUGUUAUUUUGUUCAAAAACAGAUCUUCAUGGAAACUUUAAAAGUUUUAACAAAAUCACAAUCUGCUGAAAAUAAACAUUCCAGCAGGGAUAAUUCUCCUAACCGUCAUGCGCUAAAUGAAUUAUCGGAUGUGCCACGGACUGCACUACAAAAUGAUGAGAGUCCUAGUCUACGCAACGAUAGCAUUCAUGCACCACAAGACAGAGAGGGAUCAACAGUUACUAAUGAGAAUUCAUCUAUUUUUGAUUUUGUGAAAGAUAUUGAUGAAACAUGCAUUCCAUCUUCCCAGGUAGAUGAAAAUGACGGGAACUUGACAACAAUAUCCCAACUCAGUAAUGAUUCAUCUGACAUAAAGCAUUUCUACAAAAGCCAUCAUAGAACAAGUAGCUCACUCGCAUAUAAUCGCAUUACGACUAAAAUUGCAUGCACUAAAGAAUCAAUUAAGAAGGAACAGACUGCUCGAGACGCCAAUGUUAACGAGUACUUAAAACUAGCUGCAAAUGCUGAUAAACAACAACUACAGCGAAUAAAGGCAGUUUUUGAAAAAAAGAAUCAAAAAAGUGCACAUAAUAUUUCACUGCUGCAGAAAAAACUAGAAUCUUAUAGUAAACGAUACAAAGACAUGCAAUAUCAUCAAAACCAGAAACAACAGAUUCGACAGCCGAGGGAGAUGCUACGAGAUGUUGGGCAAGGAUUAAGAAAUGUGGGAGGGAACAUACGCGACGGAGUGUCAGGCCUUUCUGCUACUGUUAUGUCUAAGCCGCGAGAGUUUGCACAUCUCAUUAAGAAUAAAUUUGGAAGUGCCGAUAAUAUUAAUCAACUUUCUUCUACAUGGUACGCAGAUCACAACAUAAUGGAUAUAAAUCGCCCAUCACGCAUCGAGGACAAUGUAUCUUUUGGUUACGAUAACGUACUGAAUUCGAGCCUAGGAAUUGGAGAAGAAGCUGAUACGAUUGGUAUAUCCAGUCCAGGAAUUAUAGGAGAUAUGGAAGAAAAAUACAGCGAGCAAGCAAGCGACUGUAGCAGCGUUACGAGCGAUAGUAUUCCUUUGAGUUCUGGUAAACUUCGCGUUAUGCGUAAUAGCCAUUGUGCAAAUAGCAAAGCAAUAAAUGAUAUUCGUGACAAUUACGACAGAUUGAAGGGAAAACUGGACAGAUUAGAGAUUUUACACAAAGAUGUUACCGAACUAGCUAUGUCAUUAGAAACAGAGCGGUACCGAGCGGAAAGGUUGGAGGAACAAUUAAAUGACUUAACAGAAUUGCACCAGAAUGAGAUCGAAAAUUUGAAACAAGCCAUAGCAGAUUUAGAAGAAAAAGUACAAUAUCAAAGCGAUGAAAGAUUACGCGAUGUUUAUGAGAUAAUGGAAAAUUGUCAAACCAGGAUAUCUAAAAUAGAACAUCUGUCGCAGCAACAAUAUGUAACAGUAGAAGGAAUAGAUAAUUCCAAUGCAAGGGCGGUGGUUGUCAAAUUGAUAAAUGUCGUUUUGACAGUUCUCCAAGUGAUACUUUUGCUUGUGGCAACAGCCGCUGGUAUUACUAUGCCUUUUCUGAAAACAAGAAUGUUUCGCUUUUACCCUCAACACGCCUCCAUUAGCGUGCAUCACCUAAAUUCUCCAGAUGUUACAGUUGCCAAAUGGAAAAACCUCAUUAUCAAUGGCAAAAUCAGCAAAGACAGAAGGUAGAGGAGAUCGUGGAGAUAAAAGUUAAACUAUUUUCUUUUCCAGUAAAUAGUAAGUUUACGAAAAAUAUUGUGUGAAUUAUUCAGCAUCAUGGAGUGUGAAUCAAGGUCAACUGUCUCGCCAUCAACGACGUCAACCUGGAUCUGGAUAUUACUACCGGAAGGAAUGGACGAUCCUUUGGUGAACAAAGCUGUUGAAGAAUUAUUCCGCGUUGAGCACUAUAUUUCGACCAGCAGUUUGGAAACUACAUUCCACGAAAUAAAUCAAACCUUUAGCCAAGGGCCAUUACUUAAGUCCCGAGUUCAAUGCAACGGAACACAAACUGCAGUAUUCAACCAUAUUUAACAGUUGCACAUCAUAUUUUCUGCCAAAUUCUGCCGCUAUCGUCAUAGUUUGGCUACAUUGCUUAAGGAUCUAGAUUUUCGUUCCGGAAAAAGUUGGAUUAAAACCAUGUAAUUAA